AACACAUGCAAGUCGAACGGUAACAUUUCUAGCUUGCUAGAAGAUGACGAGUGGCGGACGGGUGAGUAAUGCUUGGGAACUUGCCUUUGCGAGGGGGAUAACAGUUGGAAACGACUGCUAAUACCGCAUAAUGUCUACGGACCAAACGGGGCUUAGGCUCCGGCGCAAAGAGAGGCCCAAGUGAGAUUAGCUAGUUGGUAAGGUAAAGGCUUACCAAGGCGACGAUCUCUAGCUGUUCUGAGAGGAAGAUCAGCCACACUGGGACUGAGACACGGCCCAGACUCCUACGGGAGGCAGCAGUGGGGAAUAUUGCACAAUGGGGGAAACCCUGAUGCAGCCAUGCCGCGUGUGUGAAGAAGGCCUUCGGGUUGUAAAGCGCUUUCAGUUGUGAGGAAAAGUUAGUAGUUAAUACCUGCUAGCCGUGACGNUUACAACAGAAGAAGCACCGGCUAACUCCGUGCCAGCAGCCGCGGUAAUACGGAGGGUGCGAGCGUNAAUCGGAAUUACUGGGCGUUAAGCGCACGC
rnacentral:rRNA from 1 species